AAAGAUUACCAUAAAACAUCUUCUAACACUUAAAUAAACACAUAAACACAAACUUUACCUUAGCAUACAAGAUCAAAUGGUGAGUUAGGGUUUAUACCUCUCUUGUCCAAUCCUUGAUCUUUGAUCUCCUUAACUGAUUUUGGUGUUCUAAGGGGUUAUCUAGUGACUGAAUCACUCAAGAAAUUCGGAGGUUUUGGAGAGAGAAAUGUAAGUUGAG
rnacentral:lncRNA from 1 species